GACGAACGCUGGCGGCGUGCUUAACACAUGCAAGUCGAGCGGUAAGGCUCCUUCGGGAGUACACGAGCGGCGAACGGGUGAGUAACACGUGAGUAAUCUGCCCUUCACUUCGGGAUAACCACCGGAAACGGUGGCUAAUACCGGAUACGACCAGUCUUCGCAUGAGGUGCUGGUGGAAAGUCUUUUCGGUGAAGGAUGUGCUCGCGGCCUAUCAGCUUGUUGGUGGGGUAACGGCCCACCAAGGCUUCGACGGGUAGCCGGCCUGAGAGGGUGACCGGCCACACUGGGACUGAGACACGGCCCAGACUCCUACGGGAGGCAGCAGUGGGGAAUAUUGGACAAUGGGCGAAAGCCUGAUCCAGCAACGCCGCGUGAGGGAUGACGGCCUUCGGGUUGUAAACCUCUUUCAGCUGGGAAGAUAAUGACGGUACCAGCAGAAGAAGCCCCGGCUAACUCCGUGCCAGCCGCCGCAGUAACAC
rnacentral:rRNA from 1 species